rnacentral:rRNA from 1 species
UAGGGAAUAUUGGACAAUGGGUGCAAGCCUGAUCCAGCCAUGCCGCGUGCAGGAAGAAGGCUUUCUGAGUUGUAAACUGCUUUUGCCAGGGGAUAAAAUGCCCGUGCGCGGGAAAUUGAAGGUACCUGGUGAAUAAGCCACGGCUAACUACGUGCCAGCAGCCGCGGUAAUACGUAGGUGGCAAGCGUUGUCCGGAUUUAUUGGGUUUAAAGGGUGCGUAGGCGGUCUUCUAAGUCAGUUGUGAAAUACUUCAGCUUAACUGGAGAGGUGCAAUUGAUACUGGAAGACUUGAGUACUGAUGAGGUAGGCGGAAUGGACGGUGUAGCGGUGAAAUGCUUAGAUAUCGUCCAGAACACCGAUAGCGAAGGCAGCUUACUAAGGAGUAACUGACGCUGAGGCACGAAAGUGUGGGGAUCAAACAG